rnacentral:rRNA from 1 species
AACCGCAAAGGGCUCAGUAAACCAGUUUUAAUUUACUAGAGUUUUUACAUUUUGUACGUGGAUACCUGUGGUAAUUCUAGAGCUAAUACAUGCAAAUAAGUCCGGACCAGCAAUGGAAAGGACGCUUUUAUUAGAUCAAAACCAUNUCGCCCGACUUGUUUGGGCGUCGUUUUGGUGAAUCUAGAUAACACUCAUGAUCGUACAGUCACCGUACUGACGACAUCUCUUUCAAACGCCUGACUUAUCAGCUGUCGAUGGUAGACUCUGUGUCUACCAUGGCCCUCACGGGUAACGGGGAAUCAGGGUUCGAUUCCGGAGAGGGAGCCUGAGAAACGGCUACCACAUCCAAGGAAGGCAGCAGGCACGCAAAUUACCCACUCCCGGCACGGGGAGGUAGUGACAAAAAAUAACGAUACGGGACUCUUAUGAGGCCCCGUAAUCGGAAUGAGUACACUUUAAAUCCUUUAACAAGGAUCCAUUGGAGGGCAAGUCUGGUGCCAGCAGCCGCGGUAAUUCCAGCUCCAAUAGCGUAUAUUAAAGUUGUUGCGGUUAAAAAGCUCGUAGUUGGUUCUGCGUGCCGCGCUGUCGGUUCGCCGCCUGUCGGUGUAACUGGCAUGUCGCGGCAUGUCCUGUCGGUGGUGAACGGGGACCCCGUUUACUGCUUUGGCUUUUUAAGUCGACGCUAGUGACGGGCUGUUUCCCUGUUUGCCGAUCUCUCCUACUUCGGUGCUCUUAAACGAGUGUCGAGGUAGGCCGACACGUUCACUUUGAACAAAUUAGAGUGCUUAAAGCAGGCUGAAAUAUCUGCCUGAAUAGUGGUGCAUGGAAUGAUAAAAUAGGACCUCGGUUCUAUUUUGUUGGUUUUAGGAAUAUGAGGUAAUGAUCAAUGUGGACUGGCGGGGGCAUUCGUAUUGCGACGUUAGAGGUGAAAUUCUUGGAUCGUCGCAAGACGCACUAG